rnacentral:rRNA from 1 species
AUUGAACGCUGGCGGCAAGCCUAACACAUGCAAGUCGAACGAGUGGCGGACGGGUGAGUAAUGUCUGGGAAUCUUCCUGAUGGAGGGGGAUCACUACUGGAAACGGUAGCCACUACCGCAUACCUUCGGAUGUGUCCAGGUGGGAUUAGCUAGUAGGUGGGGUAAAGGCUCACCUCGGCGACGCACCCUAGCUGGUCUGAGAGGAUGACCAGCCACACUGGAACUGGGACACGGUCCAGACUCCUACGGGAGGCAGCAGUGGGGAAUAUUGCACAAUGGGCGCAAGCCUGAUGCAGCCAUGCCGCGGGUAUGAAGAAGGCCUUCGGGUUGUAAAGUACUUUCAGCUGGGAGGCGUUACCCGCAGAAGAAGCACCGGCUAACUCCGUGCCAGCAGCCGCGGUAAUAC